rnacentral:rRNA from 1 species
AUUGAACGCUGGCGGAAUGCUUUACACAUGCAAGUCGAACGGUAGAGGGGGCAACCCCUCGAAAGUGGCGUACGGGUGAGUAAUAUAUCGGAACGUGCCCAGUCGCGGGGGAUAACGUAGCGAAAGUUACGCUAAUACCGCAUACGAUCUAAGGAUGAAAGCGGGGGAUCGCAAGACCUCGCGCGAUUGGAGCGGCCGAUAUCAGAUUAGGUAGUUGGUGGGGUAAAGGCUCACCAAGCCAACGAUCUGUAGCUGGUCUGAGAGGACGACCAGCCACACUGGAACUGAGACACGGUCCAGACUCCUACGGGAGGCAGCAGUGGGGAAUUUUGGACAAUGGACGCAAGUCUGAUCCAGCCAUUCCGCGUGCAGGAUGAAGGCCCUCGGGUUGUAAACUGCUUUUGUACGGAACGAAAAGGUCUCUCUUAAUACGGGGGGCUCAUGACGGUACCGUAAGAAUAAGCACCGGCUAACUACGUGCCAGCCGCCGCCGUAA